rnacentral:rRNA from 1 species
GACGAACGCUGGCGGCGUGCUUAACACAUGCAAGUCGAACGAAGUGGCGAACGGGUGAGUAAUACGUGGGUAACCUGCCCUCCUUUUUGGGAUAAGCCUUGGAAACGGGUUCUAAUACCGGCUAAAGGGGGAUGGGCUCGGGGCCUAUCAGCUUGUUGGUGGGGUGUUGGCCUACCAAGGCGGUGCCGGGUAGCCGGCCUGGGAGGGUGAACGGGCACAGUGGGACGGAGCAACGGCCUAGAGUCGGACGGGGGGGAGAAGUGGGGGCAAUGGCAAAAUGGGUGAAGGACUGAUGCAGCGUCGCCGCGUGGGGGAUGCGGGCUUUAGGGUUGUAAACCUCUUGCGCUAUCGAACGGGUAGGUGGAGAAGAAGCGCCGGCUAACUACGUGCCAGCAGCCGCGGUAAUAC